UACUGCGCCGUGUGUGGUAGCGGAAACGCCCACAAAGCCUCGCUUAUGGAGCUUUAGCAACACGUAGCGCAGUUUU
rnacentral:ncRNA from 1 species